ACUCCUACGGGAGGCAGCAGUGGGGAAUAUUGCACAAUGGGCGCAAGCCUGAUCCAGCCAUGCCGCGUGAGUGAUGAAGGCCUUAGGGUUGUAAAGCUCUUUCGCUAGGGAAGAUAAUGACGGUACCUAGUAAAGAAGCCCGGCUAACUUCGUGCCAGCAGCCGCGGUAAUACGAAGGGGCUAACGUUGUUCGGAUUUACUGGGCGUAAAGCGCACGUAGGCGGAUUAGUAAGUUAGGGGUGAAAUCCCAAGGCUCAACCUUGGAACUGCCUUUAAUACUGCUAAUCUAGAGAUCUGGAGAGGCGAGUGGAAUUCCGAGUGUAGAGGUGAAAUUCGUAGAUAUUCGGAGGAACACCAGUGGCGAAGGCGGCUCGCUGGCCAGAUACUGACGCUGAGAUGCGAAAGCGUGGGGAGCAAACAGGAUUAGAUACCCUGGUAGGCUCUGCU
rnacentral:rRNA from 1 species